GACGAACGCUGGCGGCGUGCUUAACACAUGCAAGUCGAACGGAAAGAGAUGAAAGAGCUUGCUCUUUUAUUAAUUUCAGUGGCAAACGGGUGAGUAACACGUAAACAACCUGCCUUAAGGAUGGGGAUAACAGACGGAAACGACUGCUAAUACCGAAUACGUUCUAAGCAUCGCAUGAUGCAUAGAAGAAAGGGUGGCCUCUACAAGAAAGCUAUCGCCUUAAGAGGGGUUUGCGACUGAUUAGGUAGUUGGUGAGGUAACGGCUCACCAAGCCGACGAUCAGUAGCCGGUCUGAGAGGAUGAACGGCCACACUGGAACUGAGACACGGUCCAGACUCCUACGGGAGGCAGCAGUGGGGAAUCUUCCGCAAUGGACGAAAGUCUGACGGAGCAACGCCGCGUGAACGAAGAAGGUCUUCGGAUUGUAAAGUUCUGUGAUUCGGGACGAAAGGGUUUGUGGUGAAUAAUCAUAGACAUUGACGGUACCAAAAAAGCAAGCCACGG
rnacentral:rRNA from 1 species